GUUUAACCCUGUGGGUGUCAGUUUCGGGAGCUGCUGGCCUCAGAGCAGAGCUGGAAGCUAUAGACGAGGAGAAAGUCGGCACACCAACUUCAAAAGAAUGUUUGUGUGAAAGGUGCACCACAUGAGUGCUUGUGGAGGUCAGAAGAGGACAUUGGAUCCCUGGAACUGGAGUUACAGAUGGUUGUGCAUACCAUGUGCAUGCUGAAAAUUUAACCCGGGUCUUCUGCAAGAGGAACAAGUGCUCUUAACCACUGAGCCAUCUCUCCAGUCCCAGAAGACCUCACAGCUGAAUUUGCUUUGUGUCUCAGAACAGACUUUGGACCUGGACUUUUGAACAUUUAACACUCUGGAGACUCUUUGAGGUGCAUUAAAGACAAUUAUCACAGGUAUCCGUGACACAGUAUAGAUAAUCGACUUAAAGUGGUCAGUCAAAAGAUAUACUGCAAGAGAAAAUAUAAAGUAUGUAUGUGCACCACCUGUGUGCAGGAGCCUGAGGAGGCCAUUGGAUCCCUUGGGACUGGAGUUCCAGACAGUUGUCGAUUACCAGGGAAACUCUGAAUUGUCAUCCAGGACAAAAUAAACAAGUGACACCAUUGGAGUUCUUCUGCGGGUAAAUCCUGCCCAUUUAGUCCACCCAAACAUGUUAUGUUUGCAUAAGAAAACCUUUUUAUAAAGUGUAAGUUUGAAGGUUAAAACCAUUGGUUCUUCCUACAUUUACUCUGAGUUAUUAUAGCUAGAUUGUUUACAACUUAAACUUCGAUGAUCGAGUUUUAAUUGGCUGUUUUCAGAAUACCGAUUUUAUAAGAAAAAGGACAGAAUGAUUGAGGAAGGGAAAACAAUGAGACAGUAAAGAACAGCUGGGCUGGAGAAAAGAUGUGAAAAAAAAUCAGCUUUAUAGUUUGUCACACACACACACACACACACACACACACACACACACACACACACAGAAGAGGUCACGGUUCAGUGAUGUUUCCUUUAAGCGCUACAAUUCUGAGGCCUAUUAUGCAAAAAAGAAGUUUUACAUACAAAAUUAUGCUAUAUUUUUCGUACUGGCAUCUAUAUCAUUUAAUUACUAAAACAAAAGGGCACAUUAUAGUCAAUUUUCCAACAAUAUUAAAGAUAACUUAUUAAAACCCCAUCUGUCAAUUUUUGAUAACCAGUAAUUACUUAGCUGAUGAACUCUGAGAUCCAAAAGCGAUACAAACUACUUAGAUAGCUGACAGUCUCUCCCCACAAACAAACUAAACGAGACCCCUCAUAAGCCAGAGGACAAGUGAAAAUGGGGAAGAAAUGUCCCUGUGGCUUCUAAACACCAUUUUUGCCUUGCAUUCGGUCCUUUGUUCCAUCUGUCACCUUUCCACUCUGCACUAACCACUUGUCACUCUAGUCUCCACAGCCACCCCUACCGAUCUCCACAAUACUCCCUCUCCUGUCUGUCAGUCCCUCUGGAAUCCGUCCAGGGUUCACCUACACCUGCGGGACGCCAGGUGCCGAAACCGAGGCCGGGAACCGGGUAGUGGAUCAUGCUGCCAUCGGGUCCCCGGGGAGCCAAGGGCCGCGGGGACAGGAUUACAGAAUUCCGAGGCGGCGGUCUGCCUCCCUAGCACCACAUCCCCAUCCCAGGAGGUUCCUCCCGGGUAUCCCUGGCAGCCCGCACUCACAGCGCACGGUUGUGGAAG